UACGGAGGAUACAAGCGUUAUCCGGAUUUAUUGGGUUUAAAGGGUGCGCAGGCGGACCGCUAAGUCAGGGGUGAAAAGUUCGUGCUUAACAUGAAUCGUGCCUUUGAUACUGGCGGACUAGAGUGCGAUAGGCGUGGCCGGAAUGUGAUGUGUAGCGGUGAAAUGCUUAGAUAUGUCACAGAACACCGAUCGAGAAGUCAGGUCACGAGUUCGCAACUGACGCUCAUGCACGAAAGCGUGGGGAU
rnacentral:rRNA from 1 species